UACAGAGGUGGCUAGCGUUGUUCGGAUUUAUUGGGCGUAAAGGGUCCGUAGGCGGUCCGGAAAGUCGGAUGUGAAAUCCUACAGCUCAACUGUAGAACUGCAUUCGAAACUUCCGGACUCGAGUGUGAGAGGGGUAAAGGGAAUUCCCGGUGUAAGGGUGAAAUCUGCAGAGAUCGGGAAGAACACCAGUCGCGAAGGCGCUUUACUGGCUCACUACUGACGCUCAGGGACGAAAGCUAGGGGAGCAAACGGG
rnacentral:rRNA from 1 species